rnacentral:rRNA from 1 species
AUUGAACGCUGGCGGAAUGCUUUACACAUGCAAGUCGAACGGCAGCACGGGGGCAACCCUGGUGGCGAGUGGCGAACGGGUGAGUAAUACAUCGGAACGUGCCCAGUCGUGGGGGAUAACGUAGCGAAAGUUACGCUAAUACCGCAUACGAUCUACGGAUGAAAGCGGGGGACCGUAAGGCCUCGCGCGAUUGGAGCGGCCGAUGUCAGAUUAGGUAGUUGGUGAGGUAAAGGCUCACCAAGCCGACGAUCUGUAGCUGGUCUGAGAGGACGACCCGCCACACUGGGACUGAGACACGGCCCAGACUCCUACGGGAGGCAGCAGUGGGGAAUUUUGGACAAUGGGCGCAAGCCUGAUCCAGCCAUUCCGCGUGCAGGACGAAGGCCUUCGGGUUGUAAACUGCUUUUGUACGGAACGAAAAGGCUCUGGUUAAUACCUGGGGCUCAUGACGGUACCGUAAGAAUAAGCACCGGCUAACUACGUGCCAGCCGCCGCAGUAA